UACAGAGGAUGCAAGCGUUAUCCGGAAUGAUUGGGCGUAAAGCGUCCGCAGGUGGUUUUGUAAGUCUGCUGUUAAAGCGUUAGGCUCAACCUAAUAAGGGCAGUGGAAACUAUGAGACUAGAGUAUGUUAGGGGUAGAGGGAAUUCCCAGUGUGGCGGUGAAAUGCGUAGAGAUUGGGAAGAACACCGGUGGCGAAAGCGAUCUGCUAGGACAAUACUGACACUGAGGGACGAAAGCUAGGGGAGCGAAUGGG
rnacentral:rRNA from 1 species